GCCCUUUAACUAUCCAUUUUUUCCUAAAAAUUCAGCCUUUCGCAUGCUUAAUUAAUGCACGCGUUUACCUAAUUUGCAUAUUGCUGACACAUGCAAAUUAGGCAAAUGCAUUAAUUAAGUAGUCAGAGCAUUCAUAACUCAUUUCUUCGUUCACUUCCACGAGAAAAAGUAAAUCGUACUAGAAAUCGCAGCAGAAAGUCAACAUUUUUCACUAUAUGUGGUCCUGAUACGGACGGAGAAAGUAAAUGAAGAAGCUCAGAGCUCGACAACUGGUCUCUGUAGCUCUAAUAGUUUGAGCGCUGCACCCGGAAUCGUAAUGGUAGUAAAGAUAGUUCGUCGUAUAUUAUCAAUCGUAUGAAUUUAAUGCAGUUUUAGAAGUUGAAGACAUGGGUUUUAUGGUUGGGAAGAGUUCUGCUAAACCCAGUUUGAAGUUGCACUUGUUGCGGCUUGGAAUGCAGCCGUUGUAUCAAGACGUGAAAAUCUGUGAUUUCGCGUUGUAAACAGAGCGAGGACAAUCUCUAAAUUAUUUAUAUAUUGUAAUUACUCAAUUCAUUUCAAUGAUCUAUUUUAUUGGUAGCCGUUGCCGUGCUAAAAUCGUAAGGUCUCUAUUUUCAUCUCCAAAAAACCCUUCGAAUAGACCUUACCGAUUCAAUUCUCUUUUACC